UCUUAACACUAGUUGGUAUUAGCUUUUUGGUUUAUAUGUGUAAGAGAGGUUAAUGUUAUUGUGUUGUGUUGGGGCGAUGAAAAUAUAGUAUAAUUAACUGUUUUAUUGAAAAUACAAAAAUUUUUGUUUUAUUUUUAGAUCCUUUGUAUAGAUUAAAAGAUUAAGUU
rnacentral:rRNA from 1 species